GGAGAUGUCAUGGCUAUUGGGAGGCCUCCUGUGAGAAGCAGGCGGUCCCAGCCACACACCAGACCCUCAGCCCAGGGCUCCAGAGCUGGGAAAAGAAGUCCCUGUAACCUUGGGCUGUAAAAACCAGUGGGGAUUGUAGCUGAGUGACAGAGGCUGCUGUAGUCCCAGGUGUUCUUCUUAAAGGGCC